GCGAAUAAAGGUGUGUAGCGUCAUACUGUCUGUACUCUAUCAACAGUACCUGGUGUGAUGUUGCGACGUAGAUAUAGGUAUCCUGCGCCUUUCUAUGUCUGUCUUUGCCUCCUUACAGCAGGUGGUUAUGUAUGGUGGAGGAGUGGUCAAGAUCUUGAGAUAGCGGAGGUGUACAUGUUUAAUGAAGGAAAACCAUUCUCCCUUCACAAGACAUCUCGCACAGGUACUCUCUCUGAAAACAGCGGUAAACCACUUCAGUAUUUCCGACAAAUUGGAAAUUUGUCAGCCUUUCUUCUAACUGCCUAUGCAAUAACAGAUCGACCAAUAAAGGGUCGUUUGAACAUCAUCAUAAACACCUUUGAUGGCGCCCAUGUGACCUUGAAGUGUUGCAUCAUACUGAGCAACCACACGUUGUUGAUAACCCGUGCAUCGGAAACAUACAGGGUACCAAAGGGGGGUCAUUACAACGCCACCCAAUACACUUGUUCAUUACCACUUGGGACAGAUGUGGUACAGAUGUCCCUGACGUCGUCCUCGUGCAGCCAUGACGUACAGGAUUAUAUUCCAGUGAAGAGACCAGUCAAACGACCAGGAGGUUUAGCUCUGUGUGGGAAGACCUUAUUUGGAAAAGAUCUAAGGCCUCAGCGAUUAGUGGAAUGGAUAGAAAUCCAAAAGCUCCUGGGAGUUGACAAGAUUCUGAUAUUUGAUUUGGACAAUCCAGAAAGUAUACGAAAGAUAUUUCGGUAUUACUCCAGACAAGGAAUACUAGAAGUUCAGCCCUAUGAGUUGCCCGGAAGAAUAGAAGAGUAAUAUGGAACCACUGAAGCCAAAUGCUAAUGCUGUCGUCUUAGCAGUAUCUUUCUAGAGGAACCCACGACAGAUAUCUUAAAAUGAACUCGACUUUUCGGAAAGUCGAAUGGGACCACACCAUGUUAGAUCAGCUGUUUGACUUCACGACAUACACGUCACAACAUACGAGGUCAAACAACCGUCUGUUAGCCUACAUAAUUAAAAUUGCAUAUUCUAACAUCAUUGAACGGAAAAAACAAAGCGUUUUCCCUUAGCUGACACUACAGAUAACAUAUCAAAUGAAAGUAAAAGACUUGCGAUACAUCAUCACACUAUAAACGAGAGUACACUCGACAUCAUUAAUUGGUAAAUCUAAAAUUAAUUAGAUCCCAUAUCCAUUGCAGAAUGUUGUAAAUCCGAACUCUUGUUCGAGAUAUGAUAAUUUAUUCCAUUUUGUGAGAAGAUGUACCAUGUGUACUUCAUAAUAUACAAGUGAAGCUUGUCUGGCGUGUUCAAAAAUGAUUCCUCUUCGUAUGUUUGAAGGUGUUGCCUAUCGGGAUCUGUACAGACACCGUCACGACCAUGAUGGGCAGUUUGUACAAGAUGACGGUUUUGUCCUGUUAGACUGCAGAGAGAGACUAUCGGGAUACAGCUGGGUGAUGGGUAUUGAUGUUGAUGAGAUCAUUCUUCCGAGGAGAAAUGUCGCUUUAAAACCGUUCAUCUAUGAACUAACUGCCAGGUACCCAAAAGCAGCAGGGUUCCACUUCUACAUCAUGUUCCACUACACCAGCCACGGCAAAACCAGGAACCAUUAUUCUGGCAUGGAACACUUCGACUACUCCAGGUCAACCCCACCUCAAUGGAAGGCUUUCAAGUACCUUUAUAUUCCGGAUAGAGUGACGGUUCCAGAAACCCAUCUGCUCUACGCCAAAUCCCCUUACACAGUACCUCGUGUGUCCUCAGCUGAUGGUGUUGUUCAUCACGUUCGUUCAUGUCAUCGUCCUGAGAGCGUUUGCUUCCCUCCAGGCUCGGUUAUUGAUGAUUCUUUUCUGAGAUUUGAAUCCGAAUUGCCACAGAGAGUUAAACAGGCGAUGAAAGAAAUUGUGUAAUUGUUCGUCAUUUUCGUUUGCUGUUCUGCGGGUGUGGAACCUGUUGACAAGCGGGCGAGUUUCGGUGAUGCUGAUAUUGACGGCAACACCCAUAACGGCCUCGAGAUCAUCACCAGCUUUCAUUUUGAGCUUGCGAACAAUUCAUAUGAAGUUUAACUUGUAAAGGGAUGAAUGAUUAAUUUCAUUUGGAGUUUGUUGUGUACUUUUUAAUCCGGCGGUUGAAUAAAUAUAUACUGCUC